CGCAGCUUGCACAGAAGGUAUGGGAAUGGCAUUACUGCUUUAUUCUUUGCCUUGGUCUACACAGGAAUAAAGCAAAGAAGAAACUGGUGCCUAAGGUCACACUGAUAAUAGAUGAAGUGAUGGAGCAAGGAUUCAACCGCCAGCAGUUCGGUUCCUCAGCCUGGUUUUGCCAUGUUGGCCAGGCUGGUCUCGAACUCCUGACCUCAAGUGAUCUGCCUACCUCGACCUCCCAACGUACUGGGAUUACAAGUGUGAGCCACUGCACCCAGCCUUGGCAUUUUCAUUGCUAUAUAUAAGAUUACAAAACAUAUGGCAGAAUGUUAAUAUAGAGAAGACAAUGCUUUCCAGGAGAUGUGAUCAGUGACUAUAACUGGAAUAAAGGUCCCUGUUCAUCCUGCCACCUGUCAAUGGAGGGCAGGAGGGCAUCCUGCCAUCACUAAGUCUUCCCUACUGGGGGGCAGAAAGGAGGCUCUGCCAUGGAAACCAGGACAUGGAGAAGCUGUAUUAGGUACCCACGAUGGGAUGUUGUUCCAAAAAAUAAAGCAAUCCUUAAGGAUUUUUAUU
rnacentral:lncRNA from 10 species